rnacentral:rRNA from 1 species
AGGCUGACGGAAUGUUGAGCAGGCUGAGCUAGGCAUUUGUCUCUAUUCGAAACUUGACCUCAAAUCAGGUAGGACUACCCGCUGAACUUAAGCAUAUCAAUAAGCGGAGGAAAAGAAACUAACAAGGAUUCCCCUAGUAACUGCGAGUGAAGCGGGAAGAGCUCAAAUUUUGAAUCUGGCAGUCCUUGGCUGUCCGAGUUGUAAUCUAGAGAAGUGUUUUCCGCGCCGGACCGUGUAUAAGUCUCCUGGAAGGGAGCGUCGUAGAGGGUGAGAAUCCCGUCUUUGACACGGACUACCAGUGCUAUGUGAUGCGCUCUCGACGAGUCGAGUUGUUUGGGAAUGCAGCUCAAAACGGGUGGUAAACUCCAUCUAAAGCUAAAUACAGGCGAGAGACCGAUAGCGAACAAGUACCGUGAGGGAAAGAUGAAAAGAACUUUGGAAAGAGAGUUAAACAGUACGUGAAAUUGCUGAAAGGGAAACGCUUGAUGUCAGUCGCGUUGGCUGGGGAUCAACCUUGCUUCGCGCUGGGUGUACUUCCCGGUCGACGGGUCAGCAUCAGUUUCAGUCGCCGUACAAGGGCGAGGGGAACGUGGCACUCCUCGGAGUGUGUUAUAGCCUUUCGUCGUAUGCGGCGGUCGGGACUGAGGUGCUCAGCACAGCUUCUUGCUUGUGCUCAGGAUGCUGGCAUAAUGGCCUUAAGCGACCCGUCUG